ensembl:lncRNA
AAGAAGGAGACGUCACGCAUAGUAUAAAUGACGUCACAUCCGGGCAGCUAGGUCUGUUGAGCAGUCGGAGCACCACGUGAAAGGUAACGUAAGCGAAAAAAAAGAUCCGUCUCCAUCCAACCGUAAUGUUAAAUGCCAUCGGAUUCUGACAUCGUGAAACUAUUUGAAGUUUAAAGUUGUAAUGAAAUUAAACUGUUGUUGAGGAAACAGUCAGUUAAAAGACCAAAGUGACGUCUGUCCGCUCUACAGCGCUCUGUCGUUUUUACACAGCUGGUAUUUAGUUUAUAUAUUAAUUUACUGACCUGUAUAUACAUGUACUAUAGAGCUUAUUUAAUGUCAUAUUUGACUCGUUCAGUAAGUUAUUUAUGCCUGUCAUGAGCGGAGCACGUGCGCUCACUCGCUGCGGUUAUGAGCCCUCGCGCGAUGUAGUCUGUGUGGACCUCAUCCAGUGAGGUCUGUGUGGACCUCAUCCAGUGAGGUCCGUCCUGUGUGACGUAGUUAGUCCGUGCAGACCUUUCCAGCGAGGCUCAGCCUGCCGUGGCUCUGUCCUUUCCUGUAGUGUCUGCUAGAGAGACGUGAGGCUGUUUGAGGCCCUGCUGUGGCCCCUCGCUGCAGGGUUAUAGGAAAACCUCAGACACGUGGACAGGAAACCUCCAUGUGUUGGUUAAAGGAAACCAGUCCAGGUUUCAAUCUGUAUUCAUUCUGUUUACCUCUUGUAGUCAUGAGCGUGAUGGAGUCCAGUGAGGGGACCCCGUGCAGUGAAGGAACGAGUCUGCAGGUACAGCACAAAUAGUUGUUUACGAUGGUAAUUUGUUGAAAUGACUAAGUACACCUCUUUGAAGGUAUAUUGAUAUUUAGUCUCACUAAAGCUGGUAUCUUAAUGCCGCCACUGAUUUGAAUGUAUUAAACCAUUUGUAUAUUAGAACUUAUGAAGUAUGCAAGACAUCACAAAUGUUUGGAGAAUUUGCCUCCUUUGUUUCAAUAACAAUCUGUCUUGAUUGCUUUAUACUAUUGACACCAUGUAUGCAUGUGUGCUCAUAACUGCUUUACGUGAGCGAUUUUAAGUCUAAUGUCCCAUUAUUUCCACUACUGUAUCCCUGAAGGAAAUGUCUUAAUUUUUUUAAUUAAAUUAACUCUUUACAGGACCGCAGAGAUGAAUUCCUCAGACAUGACUUGAACGCUGGUACUCAACUAUGACUGAGUUGCUAAAGUAAUCAUGGACGUGAUGUGGGAGUCCCGUGAGCCAGUGAGGAGACGCCGUGCCGCGAAGGAACGAGUCUGCAGGACCGCAGAGAUGAAUUCCUCAGACCUGACUUGACAGCUGGGACUCAACUAUGACUGAGUUGCUAAAGAACAGAUUCCAGUCAAAUCUGAGGCCUUGAGCUGCCGUUGAGUCCACUUACGCCAUUGUGCACAGCUUCCAGCUGGGUUCAAUGAGCCGUUUCAUGGUCUUCUGCUGUGUUGAACCGGAGAACUAAAAGUGUCCAUAAGCAGAACUUUGACGCAGAUUUCAUCAGAGUUGGAGAGUUCAUCUGCUGAAGGAAAACAAAUGUAGCAUUUCUGUGUACAGUUGCUGUUAUUCCGCUUCUAAAUAUAAAAAACAUUCUUGUAAUGGCUUCCCUGGUCUUUCUCACGUUGGGUUUAGUGCAAUGAUGUUAGUUGAUGUGCUGUUGGCUCAAUGUUUUGGUGAGUUCUGCAUUAGACUGUUAAGGCCACUCGCCUUUGACAAUGCAGAGACCAGACGUUUAACUUUCACUUACUCAACAAGAACACUGUACGGCACCGAAGAACUUCAUACAUUACAGCACUGGUGCCGCUCACAUGCGCUGAUGGACACGUUGGUCAGACAACGAGGGACAAGUGGAGGCUCUG